AGUGAACGCUGGCGGUAGGCCUAACACAUGCAAGUCGAACGGCAGCACAGUAAGAGCUUGCUCUUACGGGUGGCGAGUGGCGGACGGGUGAGGAAUACAUCGGAAUCUACUUUUUCGUGGGGGAUAACGUAGGGAAACUUACGCUAAUACCGCAUACGACCUACGGGUGAAAGCAGGGGAUCUUCGGACCUUGCGCGAUUGAAUGAGCCGGUGUCGGAUUAGCUAGUUGGCGGGGUAACGGCCCACCAAGGCGACGAUCCGUAGCUGGUCUGAGAGGAUGAUCAGCCACACUGGAACUGAGACACGGUCCAGACUCCUACGGGAGGCAGCAGUGGGGAAUAUUGGACAAUGGGCGCAAGCCUGAUCCAGCCAUACCGCGUGGGUGAAGAAGGCCUUCGGGUUGUAAAGCCCUUUUGGUGGGAAAGAAAAGCAGCAGGUUAAUACCCCGCUGUUCUGACGGUACCCAAAGAAUAAGCACCGGCUAACUUCGUG
rnacentral:rRNA from 1 species